UCGGAACAAACUUUGCAAAAGGAAGAAAACGGAAUCUGGAGUUCUAUUUGGCUCCGUCAGCGAGUUGAUUUCCCGGCCAACUGAUAACGAGGAAGGCUGAUCAAACUCUUCUUCGCCAAGUCUUGUCAACACGGAUCGCAUCGAGGUUCUACUGAGUGCAUUGCACAUUGGAAGAUUGGAAAAUGUCUAGUGGGGAGGUUAAAAAAGUCUCGCGUCAAGAUAUUCAACUGGUGCAAAAUCUCAUAGAAAGAUGCUUACAGCUUUACAUGAACCAGAAGGAAGUUACCACUACCCUCUUACAUCAGGCAAAGAUUGAGCCUGGUUUCACUGAACUUGUGUGGCAAAAGCUUGAAGAAGAAAACCAGGAAUUUUUCCAGGCAUAUUAUUUGAGGUUGAUAGUGAAGGACCAAAUACAAAGAUUCAAUGAAUUGCUUCACAGACAGCUUGAAACAAUGCAGAUAUAUCGAGCUGGUUCCAAUGCCAUUUCUAAUGGUUCGCAGAUUCGACCAAUGCCUCAGAACUCAACAUGUCAAGUGAUAGAACAUGCUGGACCCAAUGUGAAGCCUGAGAACAUGAACCGGACUGCUAAUGCCAAUUUACCUCAUGCAUACACUAAUGGUGCGUCCUCACUUCAGCCAUGUAUGCAAGCUGCUGUUGAUAUGUCUGCUAAUGGAAGAGGAAUUGAUGCAUCGGCAAACAUGCUAUUGGCUCAGAGCUCAAAUGUCGGAGUAAUGCAAGGACAGAAUGGGGGGAUGAUCAAAUCAGAAGUGCUUUAUUCAGGCAAUCUGCCGUUCCUCUAUGGUACAGAGAGCAAUAUUAUUGAAGCUCGUCCAGAAACUGGGGAUGCAUCUGGUUCAUCUUUCAGCAGCGGAGAAUCAAACUCUCAAGUGCUGAAUGAGUCUGUAUUGGAUGCUGAUUCAACUUCGUUUGGGUUCUUGGGGCAUAUUCCAUGAACUUCAGUUUGUCAGAUUUAACAGCAGAUUUUUCCAACAGUUCUGAUAUAAUGGAGAGCUACUCUGGAUCGGCCUUCCUAGCAACAGAUACUGGCAAUUUCCUGGAUCCUCAUGGUAGUGAAGAAAAUCAAGAUAUCAAGAGAUUGGAUGCUAUAUCAGAAGGCUUGAGUUACGAUGAUUUUGCCAGCGAUUGAGUGAACUUUCAUUCAGAUGGUCCAAUUAUUCCAGUACAAUGUUCUGUAAGUACGAUCAUGAAAGUGGAAAUGCUUCGACCCCUUUUUGAAGGCAUUGGUUGGUUUCAGUCAAGGUUAUAACUCAAUCGAUAUGGUUGAUCAUGCAUGGGGUAUGAGGAGUAGGAAAUAAUAUAAUGUAAGAAGUUGUGCAAAAUGAGGUUAGUCAUAGAAAUUAGAAACAAAGGAUAUUAUGAUGUAUAAGUUGUAAAUAGGGCUGUGAUUGUGAUGUAAUGUGUAGUCAAGAAUACUUGAACUUUUGUUUUCU